rnacentral:rRNA from 1 species
GAUCAUGGCUCAGGAUGGAACGCUAGCGGCAGGCCUAACACAUGCAAGUCGAGGGGUAGAGUCUUCGGAACUUGAGACCGGCGCACGGGUGCGUAACGCGUAUGCAAUCUACCUUAUACAGGGGAAUAGCCCAGAGAAAUUUGGAUUAAUGCCCCAUAGUGUUAUCGAAUCGCAUGGUUUGAUAACUAAAGUUCCAACGGUAUAAGAUGAGCAUGCGUCCCAUUAGUUAGUUGGUAAGGUAACGGCUUACCAAGGCAACGAUGGGUAGGGGUCCUGAGAGGGAGAUCCCCCACACUGGUACUGAGACACGGACCAGACUCCUACGGGAGGCAGCAGUGAGGAAUAUUGGACAAUGGGCGCAAGCCUGAUCCAGCCAUGCCGCGUGCAGGAUGACGGUCCUAUGGAUUGUAAACUGCUUUAUACAGGAAGAAACACUACUUCGUGAAGUAGCUUGACGGUACUGUAAGAAUAAGGAUCGGCUAACUCCGUG